ensembl:lncRNA
UUUGUAUGGUUCCCUUUUAAAAGACUCACAGACUGAUGGUCCAUGUCAGGAAUCGUUUUUUAAGCAGACACCUGACGCGAUCACGGAUAAGAGUGAAGACCUCUUCUUGCCAGAAGAGCUCAUUCCAGUCGAUCACCUGGCAGAGUUUAAGAGACAUUUGCCUACACUGAGAGUCAAGUUGUCCAGAUUGAGGAUGCUUCCUGUAGCUGACCCGCUGCUGAGCUCAUCAGGAAAUUCCAUCUCAGAAGACAACAUGUUCAGCUGUUUCAAGCACUGUGCAUCUUAUGAAAAACCGGCAGAUGUGGACACCACUAAUGUUCAGACAUGCGUAGACAUUCAAGAGGAGUUUGUUAAACAGCCACUCACGAACGGAGAGUUGCUGCUGUUGCCUGCUGUAGUGGAGACUCUUCAGCUGAGC